GACGAACGCUGGCGGCGUGCCUAAUACAUGCAAGUAGAACGCACAGUUUAUACCGUAGCUUGCUACACCAUAAACUGUGAGUUGCGAACGGGUGAGUAACGCGUAGGUAACCUGCCUGGUAGCGGGGGAUAACUAUUGGAAACGAUAGCUAAUACCGCAUAAUAUUGAUUAUUGCAUGAUAAUUGAUUGAAAGAUGCUAUUGCAUCACUACCAGAUGGACCUGCGUUGUAUUAGCUAGUAGGUGAGGUAACGGCUCACCUAGGCGACGAUACAUAGCCGACCUGAGAGGGUGAGCGGCCACACUGGGACUGAGACACGGCCCAGACUCCUACGGGAGGCAGCAGUAGGGAAUCUUCGGAAAUGGACGAAAGGCUGACCGAGCAACGCCGCGUGAGUGAAGAAGGUUGUCGGAUCGUAAAGCUCUGUUGUAAGAGAAGAACGGGUGUGAGAGUGGAAAGUUCACACUGUGACGGUAUCUUACCAGAAAGGGACGGCUAACUACGUG
rnacentral:rRNA from 1 species